rnacentral:lncRNA from 1 species
GCGGCUUCCAGCUGCGCACGGGGCUCCGUCUGCGCCUCCGUCUGUCCAGCUCUGUCUCCAGGGAGAGACUGAACACAUGUGAAGAUCUUUCUGGCCUCAACUGGCUUUUCUUUCUUUUACUCUGAGCACUAAUGGUGAGGAGUCCGGUGACCACAGGUACGGUCUGGUGCCACUACCGUGAUCUGGGCUCAGGCGCCAGCAGUCGUAUCCACCUUUGAUUGUGCACCGUCAGUGCGAACGUCAGCGCAGUGAAGGGACUAGGAACCGCCCAGUCCUGCUAUGAAACGCUUGUCCCUCCACGCGCCCUGGAGAGGUCUGUGGACCCCCAGUGCCUGGAGACUCCACUGUGGUCACUCUGAGGACCGGGGCUGGGGGGUGGCCAGCAACCGUGCCGUUUGCCCCUAGCGCUGCCUUCCCGUCCGUUUGAGUAUUACCUGUUCUUUGCGUUGAGCCUCAUCACUCAGAAGGCCAAAUAGCAUUCCAUGGCGUGUAGACCCCACCUUUUCCUUAUCCAGUCUCCUGUCAACGAGCGUUAAGCUGUCUCCGUGUCUUGGCUUUUGUGAAGGAUGCUGCAGUCACACGGGGCAGAGAUCUCUCCGAGAGGCUCCUUUCGAUUUUUUGGACAUGUACCCACAAGUGGGGUUGCUGGGUCGUGCUAAGUGAAAUGGACCAGUCACCGAAGGACCAGUACUGUGUGAUUCCGCUCAGGGGCUGCUCUGCACCUGCCAGCACGGCUCCCGUCUCUGAUUCCGAGAGUCCUGGUGUGGACAAGACAGAGAGGUCAUCUGGUCAGUCCUUCUCACUUUCCCGAAGAUCAGCUCUUGAAACCCCACAGGCCCCUGGGACAUUAGUUCCCAUCCUCCACACAAGGAAAUCGAGUCUCAUAGAGGUGAUAUGACCUGCCUAGAGUCACACAGCACAGAAGUGGACGAGAUGUAAUUUGAACCAGGUUCCUGGAUUCCAAAUGCCAGAGAUAUGACCGCCACACUGUCGCACUGCCCAAGGCAGGUGCUGUUUAUUGAGUCCUACUAUGUGCUUGGGACUGGGCGAGGCUGGGAGAUACAGAGAUGAGAAGGCAGACCAUUCUGUGGUGUUUUUCAUGUGUCCUCUCCCCUGGGAACCUGGGAGCCAUGUAUCUCCAACACCUCGCACAGAGCUUGGCCCACAGCAGGGCUUCAGUGAAUGUUGGCUGAAGAAUGAAUGAACUGCUGCAAAUGAUAGAAGAAUAAGCAUAUUUUGUGAUUUCUCUGGGGUCUGUCCCCUUGACACUGUGUUCCCAGCACCUGGCACCAUGCCUGGUAGUGGCUCCGUAGGGAGACCAACUGGACCCUGACUCAGGCUUGGACUCCUGCCGAGUGGGUGUUCCUGCACAGCCACAGCACUUCUUGAAGCCUCAGUGUCCUCAUCUGCUCAGUGGGGAUAAUAAUUGCAUCUACUUCAGAGGAUCAGGGAGAUCGCCCAAGUGAAUGCCUGUGUGACAGCACAGGGCCCUCCCAGGAAAAGGCGUCCACUACUGAGCAGUCUCUCUUCUACCUAUCCUGUACCGCUUGGGCAACUGGGUGUGCGGCCAGAGAUGUAAGGAGAACUCUGAAGGGUCCCUGGGCCCAGGGAGGGAACCCCAGGAAGGAAACACUUGUAGGGGCCCCUCCCCAAGGACGGACUUCAGCCCUCCCAGGAGAGGGUGUGGUUGCAGAGAAGGUCUGCAGGUUCCCGGGCCAGACCUGGUGCACAGUCUCUGGGCUGCAGGUGGCACCCCUGCAGGGAGCAGCUCUCCCCAUCUCCAGCCGGAUCACAAGUUCCUCCUUUGCCAUCCCCUGCACCUCAGAUUCCUGGGCUCAGCUCCCUCGCAGCACCACCCUCCCUCAGAACCCACGUCCAGCCGCUGCUCCACACCGAGCUGCUCAAGCCUUUGCCUGCUGCCUGGACCCCCACUCUCUGUAGACCCAGAGGAGGGACCAAGGUUCUCUUGCUCACUGCUGGGUCCCCAGUUCCGACGCCAGCACUGUCACAAACAGAUGUUCGAGAAAGAUGCUUUAACUUCAUCUUCUUUCAAAUAAACUCUUUGUUUUGGAGUAA